rnacentral:rRNA from 1 species
UGUGCUAAUACCGGAUAAGUCUUUACGGAGAAAGCUUUAUGCACCAUUGGAUGAGCCUGCACUUGAUUAGUUUGUUGGUAGGGUAAUGGCCUACCAAGACUUUGAUCAAUAGCUGAUUUGAGAGGAUGAUCAGCCACAUUGGGACUGAGACACGGCCCAAACUCCUACGGGAGGCAGCAGUGGGGAAUCUUGCACAAUGGAGGAAACUCUGAUGCAGCGAUGCCGCGUGAGUGAAGAAGGCCCUUGGGUUGUAAAGCUCUUUCGUCGGGGAAGAAAAUGACUGUACCCGAAUAAGAAGGUCCGGCUAACUUCGUGCCAGCAGCCGCGGUAAUACGAAGGGACCUAGCGUAGUUCGGAAUUACUGGGCUUAAAGAGUUCGUAGGUGGUUGAAAAAGUUGGUGGUGAAAUCCCAGAGCUUAACUCUGGAACUGCCAUCAAAACUUUUCAGCUAGAGUUUGAUAGAGGAAAGCAGAAUUUCUAGUGUAGAGGUGAAAUUCGUAGAUAUUAGAAAGAAUACCAAUUGCGAAGGCAGCUUUCUGGAUCAUUACUGACACUGAGGAACGAAAGCAUGGGUAGCGAAGAGGAUUAGAUACCCUCGUAGUCCAUGCCGUAAACGAUGUGUGUUAGACGUUGGAAAUUUAUUUUCAGUGUCGCAGCGAAAGCGAUAAACACACCGCCUGGGGAGUACGACCGCAAGGUUAAAACUCAAAUGAAUUGACGGGGACCCGCACAAGUAGUGGAGCAUGUGGUUUAAUUCGAAGAUACGCGCAGAACCUUACCAACACUUGACAUGUUCGUCGCGACUUUAAGAGAUUAAAGUUUUCGGUUCGGCCGGACGAAACACAGGUGCUGCAUGGCUGUCGUCAGCUCGUGUCGUGAGAUGUUGGGUUAAGUCCCGCAACG